GGGUCUUUAGCUCAGCAGUAGAGCGGCAGACUUCGGAUUCUUCGAAGAUUCUUCAGGGUAUUCUGCAGGUCGCGGGUUCAAUCCCCGUAGGACUCU
rnacentral:tRNA from 2 species